GACGAACGCUGGCGGCGUGCUUAACACAUGCAAGUCGAACGGAAAGGCCCUGCUCUUGUGGGGUGCUCGAGUGGCGAACGGGUGAGUAACACGUGAGUAACCUGCCCUUGACUUUGGGAUAACUUCAGGAAACUGGGGCUAAUACCGGAUAGGAGCUCCUGCUGCAUGGUGGGGGUUGGAAAGUUUCGGCGGUUGGGGAUGGACUCGCGGCUUAUCAGCUUGUUGGUGGGGUAGUGGCUUACCAAGGCUUUGACGGGUAGCCGGCCUGAGAGGGUGACCGGCCACAUUGGGACUGAGAUACGGCCCAGACUCCUACGGGAGGCAGCAGUGGGGAAUAUUGCACAAUGGGCGGAAGCCUGAUGCAGCAACGCCGCGUGCGGGAUGACGGCCUUCGGGUUGUAAACCGCUUUCGCCUGUGACGAAGCGCGAGUGACGGUAAUGGGUAAAGAAGCACCGGCUAACUACGUG
rnacentral:rRNA from 1 species